GAUGAACGCUGGCGGCGUGCCUAAUACAUGCAAGUCGAGCGAACAGACGAGGAGCUUGCUCCUCUGACGUUAGCGGCGGACGGGUGAGUAACACGUGGAUAACCUACCUAUAAGACUGGGAUAACUUCGGGAAACCGGAGCUAAUACCGGAUAAUAUAUUGAACCGCAUGGUUCAAUAGAGAAAGACGGUUUUGCUGUCACUUAUAGAUGGAUCCGCGCCGCAUUAGCUAGUUGGUAAGGUAACGGCUUACCAAGGCGACGAUGCGUAGCCGACCUGAGAGGGUGAUCGACCACACUGGAACUGAGACACGGUCCUGACUCCUACGGGAGGCAGCAGUAGGGAAUCUUCCGCAAUGGGCGAAAGCCUGACGGAGCAACGCCGCGUGAGUGAUGAAAGUCUUCGGAUCGUAAAACUCUGUUAUUAGGGAAGAACAAAUGUGUAAGUAACUAUGCACGUCUUGACGGUACCUAAUCAGAAAGCCACGGCUAACUACGUG
rnacentral:rRNA from 1 species